GUGCCAGCCGCCGCGGUAAUACAGAGGUCCCAAGCGUUGUUCGGAUUUACUGGGCGUAAAGGGUGCGUAGGUGGCGAGGUAAGUUCGAUGUGAAAUCUCCGAGCUCAACUCGGAAAUGGCAUUGAAUACUAUCCCGCUUGAGGGUCGGAGGGGAGACUGGAAUUCUCGGUGUAGCAGUGAAAUGCGUAGAUAUCGAGAGGAACACCAGUGGCGAAGGCGAGUCUCUGGACGACUCCUGACACUGAGGCACGAAAGCUGGGGGAGCAAACAGGAUUAGAUACCCGCGUAGUCC
rnacentral:rRNA from 1 species